ACCUGGCUGGCUCAGUUGGUAGAGCAUGUGACUCUUAAUCUCAGGAUUGUGAGUUCAAGCUUCAUGUUGGAUG
rnacentral:tRNA from 1 species